AUGCCCGUGGCAUCAGGCCCAAGUGCUGAGAUUACAAGGCAGUUAAAGCCAGGAUGAGAAAGUCGUGCUGAACAUGCUUGUAAUCUCAGCACUUGGGAGGCUAAGGCAGGAGGAUCAAGAG
ensembl:miRNA Mir6320 microRNA 6320